rnacentral:sRNA from 1 species
UUAUAAAAUAUUAAUAAUUAAAUAUAAAAGAUUUUAAGUGUAGGAAGACACUCAACUUAUUUGUGCAAUGGAGUUGCUAUGAGAAUCUUCCACGUCAGUUGGUUAUUUUGGCAUUGAAUGGUUGUAGUUCUUAAAGCAGUUUUAGUGUUUAC